UACGGAGGUGGCAAGCGUUGUUCGGAAUUACUGGGCGUAAAGGGCGCGUAGGCGGCAAGGCAAGUCAGGUGUGAAAGCCCCGGGCUUAACUCGGGAAUUGCAUCUGAAACUGCUGUGCUUGAGUUCUGGAGGGGGUAGUGGAAUUCCCAGUGUAGCGGUGAAAUGCGUAGAUAUUGGGAAGAACACCAGUGGCGAAGGCGGCUAACUGGUCCAGUACUGACGCUGAGGUGCGAAAGCGUGGGGAGCAAACAGG
rnacentral:rRNA from 1 species